UACGAAGGGGGCUAGCGUUGCUCGGAAUCACUGGGCGUAAAGGGUGCGUAGGCGGGUUUUUAAGUCAGGGGUGAAAUCCUGGAGCUCAACUCCAGAACUGCCUUUGAUACUGAAGAUCUUGAGUUCGGGAGAGGUGAGUGGAACUGCGAGUGUAGAGGUGAAAUUCGUAGAUAUCAGGAAGAACACCCGUGGCUAAGGCGGCUCUCUAGUACGGUACUGACGCUGAGACGCGAAAGCGUGGGGAGCGAACAGG
rnacentral:rRNA from 1 species